rnacentral:lncRNA from 1 species
CGAGGCCGUCAAGUAAAGGUGGACGUUUGCUCCCCAAAGAAGGAAAUAGCCAUCAUUUUUCUUGAGAAACUACAACUGCAGGGAGAAAAAUGAAAGAUCCCAGGCUCUGACCUCAGCUGGAUGUCGGGGAGAAAAAGUCAGGCAGAGAGAGUGGGCAGAACUUCCUGGAGUUGAAGAGCACUGGGAGCCUGAGGUCAGGGACCCGAUGGAGGAGUCCUGGAAGCAAGGACGGAGAGCAAGCUUCUCGAUUGACAGCACAGAGACGGGGCUCAGAGCACAGGCUGGAGCCUGUCUAAUUGCGAAUCCUGACUCCAGACCUUACUGGCUGUAUGACCUGUAUCAAGACUACUUCCACUUUCUCUGCCUCCAUCUCAUGAUUUUCACGGUGGAGACCUUCACAGCGCUUCCCUCCAAGGGCUGUUGUCGGAUGUAGUGAAUAAAUGCAUGGAAAGCGCCUCAGAUGGCAGUGGCCCGUGUUAACCAGGAUGUGUUUGCUAUGAUUGUUCUGUUUGUAUUUCUGGGUCACCUCUGAAUGCUUGGUUGGGCCUCAGUUGUCUUGCAGGCUCCUUCUUUUUUUCCCAGUUCC